CCCAGCCUCACUUCUGAAUACCUUUCUUUUUCUUUUCUUUGUGCCUUUCCACUGUGCUGCUGAUUCAGCCUAAACUCAGACUCUGAAAGCAGUUGGCAGCUCAUCAGUUGGUUGCGGUAGCAAGUAAAGAGACUGAGGAGGGAUCCUGCGGAAGGUUUGGGGGCAUCUCUGGGCACAGGGGUGCCAAAAGGGCUCGGAAGCGGCAGAGCUGGUCCCCAGGGGUGCUCCGCUCUCCGGCUCCUCGUCUCCCUGCACGAGACACUCAUUUCUCGGCCGAGGAGGAUGAGGAAGGGAAGGAAAGCAGCAGGUGGAUGCAAAGGGCUGAGCGAGCAGGCGGGGGAGGAGAAAGGCUCCUUUGGAAGAGCGAGACAAUUAGGGCAAAUUUGGGAUUAAAAGCGGAGAGGCAAAAAGCCGCGAGCGGUAAUUUGGGACUGCAAGGUCUGCCGUCAGCGGGACCGGGAGCGGGCGAGGAUGCGGGAAAGGCGGGGAGCGGGACGGGAACAGGCUCGGGGCUGCCGCGGAGGAUCCCGCAGGUGCGGGAGGAGCAGCACCUGGGCUGCGGGAGCGCGAACGGGGCAGGGGGCGGGCUCCGAGCGCUGCCCCGGGGCCCGGCGGGGCUCCGGCGGGGCAUCGAAGGGGCAGCGAAGGGGCAGCGAAGGGAGCACCGCGGGGCUGCGGGAGCCGCGGGAACCCCGGGAGCACCGCGGGGCUGCGGGAGCCGCGCCGGGCAGGGCAGGGCAGGGCAGGGCAGGGCAUGUCCCCCCCGCCCGCACAGGCUGAUGCUGCUCCCGUGUCGUGAGCAACAAACUGCAGCGGGUUGUUUUAUUGAUCCCAGACAGGAAUGACUUGCUCUCUAAACUACAGCUUAAAGGAUGCUGCUUGCAUAACAGGUUCGAGCAGGAGGUUUUGGGGGCUCCAGGCCGCGCCCCCGGGGACCCGCUGGCCCCGCCCCCCAUCCUGCGGCCCAUCAUCGCCACCAACACCUACCAGCAGGUCAGCAGCGACAUCCUUGGAGGAGCCUCAGGAUUGCUCCCUGCAGUGAUCCCUGCUCCACCCUUGGAAUACAGAGCAAAAUCCCAGGGAAUGCUCCGUGCCUGCAGCUCUCCCGCUCUGGGCUGUGCCACCUCCACACAGCUUCUCCUGGGAAGUUCUCUGCAGCCCAGCACAGGAGGAUCCAGCUCUGCUCGCGGCCCUCUGCUCCUGGAGUCGUCGAGGAGCAGCUGCAACAAUUCCCCGAGUCCCA